rnacentral:misc_RNA from 1 species
GAUGAAGAACGUAGUGAAAUGCGAUAAGUAAUGUGAAUUGCAGAAUCUCGUGAAUCAUUGAAUCUUUGAACGCACAUUGCGCCCUAUGGUAUUCCGUAGGGCAUGCCUGUCUGAGCGUCAGCUCGUCUUCUCAAGCUCUUUUGCUUGGAUAACAUUGGAGAAGCAAUACACGGCCCAUUUGGGCUCUGUGUGCUCUCCAGAAAAACAUAGGCGGUAUGGUUCUAGCAAACCAGACGUAAUAAUUAUUUAUCUCGUCCUUUGUUUUGGAGCUGUUGCUUGCCUCUUAAUCCACAUCUUUUUUUCAAGAUGACCUCAGAUCAGGUAGGGAUACCCGCUGAACUUAAGCAUAUCAAUAAGCGGAGGA